rnacentral:piRNA from 1 species
UUUUUCAGAACACUUUUGGAA